rnacentral:rRNA from 1 species
GACGUAGGGCGCGAGCGUUGUCCGGAUUUAUUGGGCGUAAAGAGCCCGUAGGCGGCUUGUCGCGUCGACUGUGAAAAACCCGUGGCUCAACCAUGUGGUCUGCAGUCGAUACGGGCAGGCUAGAAUUCGGUAGGGGAGACUGGAAUUCCUGGUGUAGCGGUGAAAUGCGCAGAUAUCAGGAGGAACACCGGUGGCGAAGGCGGAUCUCUGG